UGGGGAAUCUUCCGCAAUGGACGAAAGUCUGACGGAGCAACGCCGCGUGAGUGAAGACGGCCUUCGGGUUGUAAAGCUCUGUGAUCCGGGACGAAAGAGCCUGAGGUGAAUAGCCUAAGGAAGUGACGGUACCGGAAAAGCAAGCCACGGCUAACUACGUGCCAGCAGCCGCGGUAAUACGUAGGUGGCAAGCGUUGUCCGGAAUUAUUGGGCGUAAAGCGCGCGCAGGCGGCUUCCUAAGUCCAUCUUAAAAGUGCGGGGCUUAACCCCGUGAUGGGAUGGAAACUGGGAAGCUUGAGUAUCGGAGAGGAAAGUGGAAUUCCUAGUGUAGCGGUGAAAUGCGUAGAGAUUAGGAAGAACACCGGUGGCGAAGGCGACUUUCUGGACGAAAACUGACGCUGAGGCGCGAAAGCGUGGGGAGCAAACAGG
rnacentral:rRNA from 1 species